GACGAACGCUGGCGGCGUGCUUAACACAUGCAAGUCGAACGGAAAGGCCCUGCUUUUGUGGGGUGCUCGAGUGGCGAACGGGUGAGUAACACGUGAGUAACCUGCCCUUGACUUUGGGAUAACUUCAGGAAACUGGGGCUAAUACCGGAUAUGAGCUCCUGCUGCAUGGUGGGGGUUGGAAAGUUUCGGCGGUUGGGGAUGGACUCGCGGCUUAUCAGCUUGUUGGUGGGGUAGUGGCUUACCAAGGCUUUGACAGGUAGCCGGCCUGAGAGGGUGACCGGCCACAUUGGGACUGAGAUACGGCCCAGACUCCUACGGGAGGCAGCAGUGGGGAAUAUUGCACAAUGGGCGGAAGCCUGAUGCAGCAACGCCGCGUGCGGGAUGACGGCCUUCGGGUUGUAAACCGCUUUCGCCUGUGACGAAGCGUGAGUGACGGUAAUGGGUAAAGAAGCACCGGCUAACUACGUG
rnacentral:rRNA from 1 species